GAGAAUUCAAUUUCUCUUGAAACAUAGAACAGAGAAAAAAGGAGCCUUUGGGAGAAGAAAGAAAGAAAAGAGAAGAAACGUCUAGGAGAUUAGAAGAAGCUCAAGAGAAGGAUUAGAGAUUUCAACUUAUUAAGGUAAGAGGAUAGUAACAUAAUUAUUGGAGAUGUUGAUUUUCUCUAGCCCAAACUCUUACCAUCUCAAUUGGGGGUUUGUAUGUGGGAUUUGGGAAUGUGUUUAUUAAGAACUUUUGUGUGUUGAUUCAUGAUUCUACUUGUUCUAUCAUGAUUAUUGAGUGUUUUAAUAUGAUAAAAAUACUCACUUUGAUGUUUGAUGUUGUUGUAUGAUGAUUUUAAUUGGAUUUGUGAUUUUGAGCUUAAAUCCAUGAAAUAAGUGAUUAUACAUGAUGAUUAAGUUGUUUUUAAGUGAUUUUAAGUAUGUAUGAUCAUAGUAUAUAUUGGUAAUGAAUUUUGGGUCGAAAUAGGUGCUUAUAUGUGAAGAAUAAGUGAUUUUUGAACAAUCCCGUAUUCAAAACGUGUUUUUGUGCAAUUCUGCAGCUUUGCGUCGAAAAUUGGCCGACGCUAUGACCGACGCUACCUGUUGACUCGUACCCGUUGACUUUUUGUCUACUUUUUUGGUCGGAACUUAUUUUGCUCAGUUUUUCGCAUAAAUUUCGAUUCCGGAGUCCAUUUUCUGAGAUUAUGCUUGUAUAAUGAUGUUGCCAAUAUUUUUGGCAUUAGUUUAAUUUAAAAUAACUUUUGUAUGCUUAAUUAAUUGAAAUUGGUGAACCCUUGAUGGUGUGAGACUUUAGUGUCUUGUAAAUGAAUAUGUUGAUUAAUGACGAUGAUUAGGUUGUUGAUAGAUGAUGAUAAUCAUGAUGUUGAUAAAUUAUGAUGUAUUAUGAUUAGAUUGGUAAAUUAUUGAUAAAUAAAUCUUAUUGAAGAUUAGUGUGAUUACGUGAUGAUGUAUUAG
rnacentral:lncRNA from 1 species